GACGAACGCUGGCGGCGUGCUUAACACAUGCAAGUCGAACGGAAAGGCCCUGCUUUUGUGGGGUGCUCGAGUGGCGAACGGGUGAGUAACACGUGAGUAACCUGCCCUUGACUUUGGGAUAACUUCAGGAAACUGGGGCUAAUACCGGAUAGGAGCUCCUGCUGCAUGGUGGGGGUUGGAAAGUUUCGGCGGUUGGGGAUGGACUCGCGGCUUAUCAGCUUGUUGGUGGGGUAGUGGCUUACCAAGGCUUUGACGGGUAGCCGGCCUGAGAGGGUGACCGGCCACAUUGGGACUGAGAUACGGACCAGACUCCUACGGGAGGCAGCGGUGGGGAAUAUUGCACAAUGGGCGGAAGUCUGAUGCAGAAACGCCGCGUGCGGGAUGACGGCCUUCGGGUUGUGAACCGCUUUCGCCUGUGACGAAGCGUGAGUGACGGUAAUGGGUAAAGAAGCACCGGCUAACUACGUG
rnacentral:rRNA from 1 species